rnacentral:rRNA from 1 species
GACGAACCGUGCGAACGUUGUUCGGAAUUACUGGGCGUAAAGCGUGCGCAGGCGGUUAUGUAAGACAGAUGUGAAAUGCCCGGGCUCAACCUGGGAACUGCAUUUGUGACUGCAUGGCUAGAGUGUGUCAGAGGGGGGUAGAAUUCCACGUGUAGCAGUGAAAUGCGUAGAUAUGCGGAGGAACACCGAUGGCGAAGGCAAUCCCCUGGGCCUGCACUGACGCUCAUGCACGAAAGCGUGGGGAUCAAACAGG